UAGGGCCGACGCGUGUCGGGGUCAGCGGGCGGCGGCGUGGCGCUGGCCGAGGGCGUGACGGCGCGGCGGCGGACAACGGUGGCGGGGCCGGUGCCUGGCGGCGGCGUGUUGGGCUUGGUGUGCUCUGUUCUGCGCGGUGGCGCCUGGCGUGGUGGCGGCGGCCACUGGUGGAGCGCGUCGGCCCCCCUUCGGCGGGUGGCUGAUGCAGAUGCGGGGUGCGCCGCUCCUGGCCGCGUGGGCGGCGGAUCGGCGGCGAGCGUGGCUGGCUCCUGGGGCUUCCCGGUUUGCCCUGGGAGCAGAUCUGGCGAUGGUGCUUCCUCUCGGGGGAUGGAUUGGGGGAAACCCCUUGGCUGUUCUCUGCGGCCACGAUGCCAGCGGCGCUCCGGCGUCGUUCCCCUUCUUGAAGGCGGCUUCGCAAUCCCCCCCUCGCCCUCCCUUCCUCGUCCCGGGUGAAAGCCCCAAAUCUCCGGAUUGGGUGGUGACGGCGCUCCGGCGUCGUUUUUCUUCUUGAAGACACCACCUUGGUGCGACGGAGUGGUGGUCGAGGCCUUGGCAUGGGAGGUGGCUGCCGGAUAUCGUCAGUGGUGUCCAUGCUCGGCCACUUGCGGUUGAUGUUGGCGCCGGCGCACGGCGUUGGCGAUGCUCGGUGGUGCGGCUGCCUGGUGCGGUCGUUGUGUUUGUCGUCCCCUCCCGGCAACCUGUUGGUCCUGGUCAUGCGAGCUCAGGGGUGAGCGACUCUGCCUGUCGACGGCGUAGUGUCCUCCGAUCCAGGACUAGAGGGCAGGGGGCUCUCUUCGGAGGUAGAGACGAAUGGCGGACCGGAUGGCUUGGCUCAAGGGGGAUGACAGAGCGUGACAAUCCUCCUGCAGCGGGAUCUACCUCGGCUCAGCCGCGGCGUGUGUUGGCUCCUGUUCGCCGAGGGCUUCGAUGUUCAAGCUUGUGCUUGGUGUAUUCGAGUCUUGUUAGUGGCUCCUUUGGUAUCUUGUAUCUUUGCCGUUUUUAGUUUUUUUUCUUUCUUUCUUCUUCUUUUUCUUUGGGCUUGAUGUGCUGCUCGCCCCAGCAUUGCGAUGUG
rnacentral:rRNA from 1 species